UGAUAACGGCUUCCAACAAUU
rnacentral:piRNA from 1 species